rnacentral:lncRNA from 10 species
UACCAGUCCAAGCUCAAAAAGCAUGCAUAAAAUAUGGUUUUUAGCCGCUGAUGCUAGACAACUUGAGAAAUUUAGGGACUUAUUGUUUUUCAAAAGAAAAUUUCUUAUAGUAUAACUAAAUUUUUAAAUUUGGUUUUUUAUGCAUGCUUUUUGAGCUUGAACUAGUAAGCAACAAUACUUAUUAAAUAGAAUUAAAACAUAAAUAAAGAGAAUAGGCACAUAAAGUAUUACAUCAUUUCUGGUACUAAUUUUUUUCCCAAAGAAAUUAAAGAAGUAUGAUGGUAUAGGAGUGUAUGUAGACACUCUAAUUAAAAACAAUUUGGUCAGCUGGACACAGUGGCUCACACCUGUAAUCUCAGCACUUUAGGGGCCGAGGCGGGCAGAUCACAAGGUCAGGAGUUCGAGACCAUCCUGGCCAACAUGGUGAAACCCCAUCUCUAUUAAAAAUACAAAAAAUAGCUGGGCAUGGUGGCAGCUGCCUGUAAUCCCAACUACUCAGGAGGCUGAGGCAGGAGAAUCGUUUGAACCUCGGAGGCGGAGGUUGCAGUGAGCUGAGAUUGUGCCAUUGCACUCUAGCCUGGGCGACAGGGCGAGACUCUGUCUCAAAAAAAAAAAAAAAAAAAAACACACACAUACAUUUAAAAAAUUUAGUUAUACUAUAAGAAAUGUUCUUUUGAAAAACAAUUAGUAUACGUCCCUAAAUUUCUGAAGUUGUCUAGCAUCAGUGGCUAAAAUAAUAUGUAAAAAUAAAAACAGAAAAAAGAGCGGUAGUCAGUAACUCACCACUUAAACGUACAGCUUAAAAUAGAAUUUCCUAGGCAAUUCUAUAGCACAUACUUAUGGAAAAUGUUACAUUCAGCAGUCAGAACUGGCCCUGGAUCAUCAAAACAGUGGUUAUUACCAUCAUUUAUUAACUUGAGGCUUCUCAAUUCAAGAUGCUGUAUAAAUUGAAGACAUUCGUUUUCUACCCAAAAAAAUACCACAAUUUGGGUUGAAUUCUAGCUCUACCACUUGCUGCUUGUGUGACCUUAAGCAUAUCAACCACUCCAAGCCUCAGUAUUUCCACCUAUAAAACAAGGCUGCUGUGCUCACUUUGGCAGCAUAUAUACUAAAAUUGGAUUGAUACAGAGAAGAUUAGCAUGGCCCCUGCACAAAGAUGACAUGCAAAUUUGUGAAGCAUUCCAUAUUUUUAACGGACAACCUACAGAAUAAGAGAAAAUUUUUGCAAUCUAUCCAUCUGACAAAGGUCUAAUAUCCAGAGUCUACAAGGAACUUAAACAAAUUUACAAGAAAAAAACAAACAACUCCAUUAAAAAGUGGGCAAAGGACAUGCAUAGACAUUUCUCAAAAGAAGACAUCCGUGCAGCCAACAAACAGAUGAAAAAAAGCUCAACGUCACAGAUCAUUAGAGAAAUGCAAAUCAAAACCACAAUGCAGUACCAUCUCAUGCCAGUCAGAAUGGCAAUUAUUAAAAAGACAAAAAACAACAGAUACUGGUGAAGUUGCGAAGAAAAAGAAACACUUCUACACUGUUGGUGGGAAUGAGAUUAGUUCAACUAUUGUGGAAAACAGUGUCGUGAUUCCCCAAAGAUCUACAAACAGAAAUACUAUUUGCUCCAGCAAU